CCUGGGGAGGGGGGAGAGAGAGAAUAGAGAAGUCACCUAAAAUUAUGAAAACAAAUCAAAUCUGCCACGAUCAAAGUCGAUGCAGAUCAGACGUGAGGUGAAUGAGGCACGUGAGGUAUAGUUGGAGAGAUUACAGCUUAAAAACAGAGAAAGAGACCAUUAUAACCUGCAGACCAUAAAGUCCUGAUUAGUUAUCUUCAGAGGACAGUCAGGGAGGGAGCAGAGGCAGGCACACUGCCGUACCAGAAUGCAGGUUUGGUUUGAGCAGGGGUCAAAAUGACAGGCAAUAGAAAGACCAUACAAAAUCCACUAACAACAAUAUACAACAAAAUUAAACAAUGUGUUCAAAUACUAAUAGAAAUGACCCAAUAUUUCAAUGGUUAAACAUAUGGGUAUGAAUAGUUUGUUUAUAAGAAGAUAACAGAAGUAAACCUGUUUAUAAAUAGUGAGGUGUGGGUAGGAGACACCACAGCUGUUAAGUUCUGACCAUUCACACAGAAGAGAGUAUUUUGAACACGCUAUGAAAGAAAAUACAAGAUUCAUAUUAUAUUUGGAAAGAUGACUGACUUUGAGUCUGUAGUUGGCCACUGCAAGGUAGAACAGAUAGUCCCGGGAGUCGUCCUUUGACGAUUUGUGGACAAGUUCUGCAAGA